AGUGGAAUAGCUGGGUCAAAUGGUGGAUCCAUUUCAAGUUUUAUGAGGUAUCUCCAUACUGCUUCCCAUAGUGGUUGCACCAAUUUUCAGUCCCACCAGCGAU
rnacentral:pre_miRNA from 1 species